GACAGUUCAAGGGCACACAAAAAGCAAACAUUAAUAAAAAAAAAGCCCGCUACUUACUGCUCCUAAAAAGAAUCCAAAGAGGUGGCCGAAAGAUAGGUCAGUUUCGGGAGGAGAGGUGUCCUGAUACCCUCCUCUUGAAAGAGUUUAAGUCGUAGGCAGGAGGAAAUACAGAUGAAGGAAGAUUGUUCCAGAGUUUACCAGCGUGAGGGAUGAAAGAGUGAAGAUGCUGGUUAACUCUUGCAUAAGGGGUUUGGACAGUAUAGGGAUGAGCAUGAGUAGAAAGUCGAGUGCAGCGGGGCCGCGGGAGGCAUGCAGUUAGCAAGUUCAGAAGAGCAGUCAGCGUGGAAAUAUCGAUAGAAGAUAGAAAGAGAGGCAACAUUGCGGCGGAAUUUAAGAGGUAGAAGACUAUCAGUAUGAGGAGGAGAGCUGAUGAGACGAAGAGCCUUAGCCUCCACUCUGUCCAGAAGAGCUGUGUGAGUGGAGCCCCCCCACACAUGAGAUGCAUACUCCAUACGAGGGCGGACAAGGCCCCUGUAUAUGGACAGCAGCUGUGCAGGGGAGAAGAACUGGCGGUGACGGUACAAAACGCCCAGCCUCGAGGAAGCUGAUUUAGUAAGAGAUGAGAUAUGAAGUUUCCAGUUGAGAUUUUGAGUUAAGGAUAGACCGAGAAUGUUUAGUGUUGAGGAAGGUGAUAGCUGGGUGUUGUCUAAGAAUAGGGGAUAGUUGUUUGGAAGAUUGUGUCGAGUGGAUAGGUGGAGAAACUGUGUUUUUGAGGCGUUGAAGGACACUAGGUUCUUCUUGCCCCAAUCGGAAAUAAUAGUAAGGUCUGAGGCUAAGCGUUCUGCAGUCUCCAGCCUUGAGUCGUUAAGUUCCUGAAGGGUGGGUCUUCUAUUAAAAGAAGUUGAAUAAUGCAGAGUGGAAUCAUCGGCUUAGGAAUGGAUAGGACAGUUCGUUUUGGAAAGAAGAUCAUCAAUGAACAACAGAAAAAGAGUGGGAGAUGGGACAGAACCCUGUGGGACACCACUGUUAAUAGAUUUAGGAGAACAACAGUGACCGUCUACCACGGCAGAAAUAGAACGGUCAGAAAGGAAACUGGAGAUAAAGGUACAGAGAGAAGGAUAGAAACCGUAGGAGGGUAGUUUAGAAAGCAAAGAUUUGUGCCAGACCCUAUCAAAAGCUUUUGAUAUGACCAGCGCAAUAGCAAAAGUUUCACCGAAACGGCUAAGAGAGGAUGACCAAGAGUCAGUUAAGAAGGCUAGGAGAUCACCAGUAGAACGCCCCUUGCGGAACCCAUACUGGCGAUCAGAUAGAAGGUCAGAAGUGGAAAGGUGCUUUUGAAUCUUCCGGUUAAGGAUUGAUUCAAAAGCUUUAGAUAGACAAGAAAGUAAAGCUAUAGGACGGUAGUUUGAGGGAUUGGAGCGGUCACCCUUCUUAGGCACAGGCUGUAUGAAGGCAUACUUCCAGCAAGAAGGAAAGGUAGAUGUUGACAGGCAGAGGCGAAAUAGUUUGACCAGGCAGGGUGACAGCACGGAGGCACAGUUUUUAAGGACAAUAGGAGGCACUCCAUUAGGUCCAUAAGCCUUCUGAGGAUUGAGGCCAGAGAGGGCAUAGAAAACAUCAUU